rnacentral:snRNA from 1 species
GUCUUCAGCAGCACAUAUACUAAAACUGGAACGAUACAGAGAUUAGCAUGGCCCCUGCACAAGGAUGACACGCAAAUUCAUGAAGCCUUCCAUAUUUUU